rnacentral:lncRNA from 1 species
CUACAGUGACAACUGGACCUGGCCCGAACCCCUGGCAUCUGGCAACAUUAUUACCUGUCGAAACAGAAGUAGAGAUUUGAAAUAGAGGAUGCCUGUUCCCAUUUCCUCCUGCUGUCUGGAAGGAAGUCUGGCUUUCCAGCCCAACUCUAAGCUCAUCUUUACAUACAAAAUAAGGGUAUGUUUACAUGGAAAGCAAAAAUAGAACCAUGGAUUUACAGAAGGUUCCAUAGCAGCAAAUAACAGUGCUUAUGAAAUAAACAUUUUAAAUAUU